rnacentral:rRNA from 1 species
CGUGUAGGCGGUUUUAUAAGUCUGAUGUGAAAGCCCUGGGCUCAACCUGGGAAGUGCAUUGGAUACUGUAAGACUUGAAUACGGGAGAGGGCAGUGGAAUUCCUGGUGUAGGAGUGAAAUCCGUAGAUAUCAGGAGGAACACCGGUGGCGAAGGCGGCUGCCUGGACCGAUAUUGACGCUGAGACGCGAAAGCGUGGGUAGCAAACA